ACAGCAAAGCUGGGUCAGUGGGGGCCAGGGCCCCUCCCCUGGAAAUCCCCCCUUCCCUGAGUCAGACUUCACCCGCUGGCUGGGCCCGGAGGGAGUCCUGGGGGAAAGGGAUGACACCUGGAAGGGAAGGGAAGGCCCACCAGGGUCACCUGGACUCGUCCUGGCUAAAGUGAAACUGAGACAAACCUUGAAAGAGAAACCAAGACACACUCAAAAGAGAAACCGAGACACACCUGGAAGUCACUGAAAGGGAUGCACCGGGUUCAGCAGGCACCGACCAGCACAGUCAAGCAGGCUGUUACAAGUGGUGUAACAGCUACAGGAUGAAGCCCGGAAGCUUCCGUACACCAGGCAGCUCCUGCCAGAAGAGAAAUGUCCGGAAGGCCGGGCUAGAAGGCUUCUGGAAAAAUGUGCUCUGGGAGCCAGAACUGGGCUCAAGAUCACAGCUGCAGGGCUGCCAAGAAGCCAACCUAACCCAUCUCCAGGCCACACGUGUGUGGGGUGGUGGACGUAGGUAUGUGAGUAUAAAAUUCAAUAAAACUGCUUUACCCAGAGCACUGACCAAGGGCCAGCCAGGUGAGCUUGGUCAAUUUGCUGUUUGUUCUCCUCUCCACCUCCCAUGCCUUCCCCCGGCCCCUUGCUCACCCUUGGAGAUAUUGCAAAAGCCCCAGGGCCAGUCUCUGCCUCCAAUGUUCACCAUUUAAUCCCUCCUCCAUGGUGUCCAGAUACGGCCAAGAGCGAGGUUAGAGGUCAGUUCCUGCAGACUGCCGCGGUAUAGGGGAGGGGAGGGGAUCUAGCCCCACAGCCUGAAGCUUCUCAUUCUGGCUCUGCCACUACCUGCCUGCUUAGCACUUUCUGGGCCUCAGCUUCCCCAUCUGCAAAACGAGCAGGUCAGACCAAGUGACCUCUCAGGCCCUUUCCAGCCAGACGCUCUGGGAUGGGAACAGAUUUCCUUUCUCCCUCCCCCCUGGAGGGGGUGUGGUUCAGGCCUAAGUGACUCAGGACAGGCCCUAUCUCUUAGCACAGCACACGGGUCCUGCCCUGGGGGCUCCUGCUGUGCUCCUCAGGUUUCACCUCCCACCCUUUUAGAGCACAGGGGAGUGUGGGGCCUGGGCCCUGGGGAGCUGAGGAUCUGACCUGCCCUGCUUUGGAAAAGGACAGAAAACGUCUGGAGGACCCUCCCUUCACUGGGGACAUGCAUGAGCAGGUCAGCCGGCCCCCAGCAUCCUCACCAUAGGGUGCCCCUGCCUGUCCUGCACCCUGACCCUCAAGUCUGCCCGCAAGGGAGCCUGCCUGGAGGGUGUGGGAGGUCAAACCACUGCCCUCACUGCCUGGCCCAUGAGGAGGCCUGGGGCCUGUCCCCACCUUGCCCCGCUUUAGGGGCCCCGUGAUCAUAUGGACCACCCACCCACUGUCAUGUCCUCAGCAGCCAGGGUCACUAACUAAGGUCACCAGCAAGUGGCGGGCAUGGCCACAGUACACAGGGCCCUCAGGGACAGCUGCUGGCCAGAGGGGGUGGGGACUAAAGGGCUCCGAUUUUCCAAUGGACUCCUGGGAGCUGCAAGAGACGGGGGUGCCACAUUCUGCUGGCAUCUCCCAGGGAUCAAGCCACCCAGGAGCUCUUGCAAACCAGGCGCCAGGGAUGCCCUCCUGCCCUUCUGGCACUCCUGAGCAGGUCUUAAGGAAAGGUGGCUGACCUUGACACAGGCCAGGCUGCCUACAGCAGCUGCGAAUCCUGCCCUUAGGACGCAACAUACACCAGGCGCAGAUUGUAUUUAGGGGUCAAGUGGGGCUACAGGCCCAGGGGGGCGCUGCAACCUCCCCCUCCUCGGGUCUCCCAUGCAAAAUGUGAGCAGACUCUGCGUGACUGGGGUUUUGCUGGGAUUAAACCAGACAAAGAACCUAAAAGCCCUUUGUAAAGGAUAAAGUACUAGAUAAAAAUAGCAGAUCUUUAUCAGCCGAGCCUUUCCUUUUUAGGGCUGCCUCUGUGGACAGCUGUUGAGGUUGCACUGUGGCCAGACUUUUGCUUCUGCAUUCUGGAAAACCAAAGAAGCUAGCUUGUGAGAUUGCUAACAACCGGAAAGACAGAAAAGGAAAAAAAAAAAAAAAAA